rnacentral:tRNA from 1 species
GAAAUAAGUAAUUCAAAAAUAAGCUUCUAACUUAAUUUUUUAGCGAUGAAAUUCGUUAUUAUUUCU